UACGUAGGGUGCGAGCGUUAAUCGGAAUUACUGGGCGUAAAGCGUGCGCAGGCGGUUUUGUAAGCCAGAUGUGAAAUCCCCGGGCUUAACCUGGGAAUGGCAUUUGGGACUGCAAGGCUGGAGUGUGGCAGAGGAGACUGGAAUUCCUGGUGUAGCAGUGAAAUGCGUAGAUAUCAGGAGGAAUACCGAUGGCGAAGGCAGGUCUCUGGGCUGACACUGACGCAGCAUGCAGCGUAAGAGUGGGCAACAAGG
rnacentral:rRNA from 1 species